AUUGAACGCUGGCGGCAGGCCUAACACAUGCAAGUCGAGCGAGCGGCGGACGGGUGAGUAAUGUAUGGGGACUGCCCGAUAGAGGGGGAUAACUACUGGAAACGGUAGCUAAUACCGCAUACUAUCGGAUAACCCAUAUGGGAUUAGCUAGUAGGUGAGGUAAUGGCUCACCUAGGCGACGAUCCCUAGCUGGUCUGAGAGGAUGAUCAGCCACACUGGGACCGGGACACGGCCCAGACUCCUACGGAGGGAGCAGUGGGGAAUAUUGCACAAUGGGCGCAAGCCUGAUGCAGCCCUGCCGGGUGGAUUAAGAAGGCCCUAGGGUUGUAAAGGACUUUCAGGCGGGAGGCGUUACCGACAGAAUAAGCACCGGCUAACUACGUGCCAGCAGCCGCGGUAAUUC
rnacentral:rRNA from 1 species